rnacentral:lncRNA from 1 species
UGUGCUUCAGAAUGGUGUGUGUCAUGGCAAUGUUGGUAGCGAUACACCUAACCAAAAACGGCUAACUGGUAAAGUUGACCACAUAGAAAAACUAGAGGUCAGAUUCAUAUACUCUGUUCUAGACAAUCCAGUGUUUUGUAAACUAUUAGCGAAAGCAAACUUCACAAUGAAGACUAAAUUCUAAGCUUAAAUUAAUUUAUCUUCUGUAUUAUGGCCAAUUCUAAAUUCCACAGUCACGUUAUUUACUUCACCUUUUUUUUACACUCAUCAAGAACUAACCACAGUACCACGGCGGUCACAUUUCGAUGGAGGCGAAAUGCUAGAGGCCCAUGUACUAUGUGAUGUCAGUGCAUGAUAAACACCAGGUGGUCAAAAUUUCCAGAGCUCUCCACUACGGCGUGCCUCGUGGUUUUAGGACUUAAAAAUCCCAGAUAUUGACUAUGCACAGUAAAAUAAUUCGUCAACCUUCAAGCCGUGUUAAUACACACAAAUUAUUCAUUUUUUCCCUCAGCAAUCUCUCACUGGAAUAACUUACCUAAUAGUGUUGUGAAUUGUAAUACUGUUGAAUGUUUUGUUGUUACUUCAUAUCAUUUCGUUACUUCAAAGUUCAAAUCAUUCAUUUCUCUUCAUGACUGACUUUUUGUUUUCAUCUCUGUAACAACUCCUGCAAGGGCCGCUUGAACAUGCGGUAUGUUCAAAUUAAAAAUAAAGGUACACUGUUUGCAGCUGUCCUGAGCGAGUUGGGGUGCUCUUGUAAUGUGCUGAAUCAUCUAAUUCAGGACUAACCCCAUGUGAAUUUCCAAAUGUUCAUUUCAAAAAAAGAGUGUAGCAGCAGCUGGUGCACUUUACAGCAAGCUGUGGCGUGCGUGUUUUCUUGCGGCUGUAAGGAAAGCUUGUGAAGUGUAAAGAUUGACAUCAUCACAUAAUUGCAUUUGUGAGUCGAAGUAUCUAUUUCAAGUCUGUUUUCAUUGAAUCAAGCCUUUAUGUUGGCCACCAUGAUAAAAAGGUGGAGUGCAGUCAUCUUUG